GGAAGCGGAGAGCCGGAGUGCAGCAUGGGGAGACGGAGCACCGGGAUCAGCAGAGCAAGUUUUGCCGCCUGCUGCCCUGAGCCUUCCCCCGUCUUUCUGCCACUCCUGGAUCUGAAGAGAGUUAGUGAUAUCCCGGAGAGUUCGUAAGGGGCAGAAUAAAAGACAACAACAAGGCGGUGAGGGCUGCAGCUAAUGGAGAGGCUGUAAUUGUGAAUGGAAGCAUUCAUCUGGAGACGUCGUCCGUGAAUUGCGCCGCACAAUGCGCAGAGACGG